GUAGAAUGUCGGCGAGACUACGAUUCGAACUGAUGCAAGCGAGGCACAACGUUGCAACCUUUUUAAUUCCCGAUUCUUUGAUGGUCUAAAUUUACAGUAAACUUCUUCCACCAGAAGCACGGAAGUAUGGUAUGUCUAAAAAUGCAAUGGAAAUUUAUAAAUAUUUAUCGCAGGACAUAGUGAAAGAUAUGACGUCGCGGUCGGACACGCUGCAUCACUAUAAAAGAAGAUCGUUUAUUUAUUCGACAAUGUCAACAAAAUCGAAGCAACGAAUUCAGAUUUACAUUAAAUAGGCUUUCAGGAAGAUGACGACAGCAGCGACGGCAAUGUCUUGCAGUUGGAUGGCCCGUGAUAUUCUCAGUGUUUUU